rnacentral:tRNA from 1 species
GCCUGGCUGGCUCAAUCACCAGAGCAUGUGACUCUUGAUCUCAGGGUCAUGAGUUCAAUCCCUAUGUUGGGUG